rnacentral:tRNA from 1 species
GGGGUAUUAGCUCAGUUGGUAGAGCGCUACACUGGCAGUGUAGAGGUCAGCAGUUCGAACCUGCUAUGCUCCACCA